UGGUUUUGUCUGAAGUCAAACUUUCUUAAAUUUGACCAAAUUUAUAUAAAAAAUUAUCAAUUUUUAUGAUACCAAAUAAACAUACUAUGAAAAUAUAUUUCAUCAUGAAUCUAAUGAUACUUUUUUGGUUUCAUAAAAAAUAGUAAUUUUUGUAUAAAUUUAGUCAAACUUAAGAAAGUUUGACUUCAGACAAAACCAA
rnacentral:pre_miRNA from 1 species